rnacentral:rRNA from 1 species
ACGGGGGGAGCAAGCGUUGUUCGGAUUUACUGGGCGUAAAGGGCGCGUAGGCGGCCAGCACAAGUCAGUUGUGAAAUCUCCGGGCUUAACUCGGAAAGGUCAACUGAUACUGUGCGGCUAGAGUGCAGAAGGGGCAACUGGAAUUCUCGGUGUAGCGGUGAAAUGCGUAGAUAUCGAGAGGAACACCUGCGGCGAAGGCGGGUUGCUGGGCAGUUUCUGACACUGAUGCGCGACAGCGUGGGGAGCAAACAGGA